GCCUUAAUGCAGCCGCCUAUAGGUGCUGGUCGCAAGCCCAGAAAAAUGCAGAGCGGGGU
rnacentral:ribozyme from 2 species